GCAGCCCUCCUUCCAAGUGCCACAUCUCGCAGGCGUGGUUGUCAUCUUGGCCGCAGUUCGGGCGGAGCGGAGCCCAGGACAAGCCCGAGGGUAAGACUUUGGAUAAAUGCCUGGUGGAAAGAUGAAUACCACAGCCAUCUGGGAUCUAGCUCAACAGCUUUAUUGAAAUGGAUACAUGAAACAGAAUUUUCUACAGAAAAAUAGAAUUAACUUUGCAAUCAUUACCUAUUCUUUGCCUGGGACAAUACAUAAAAAUGGGUGCUAGCUGCAAACUGAGGAAUUAUGAACUGAAUUUUUCACAUAUAAACAAAGCAGGGCAAACACACUGUGACACCAAUCAGCUUUGUACUUCCAUCACUACAAGCCUGGCAGCAGGCUGGAAGACAAAGUAGAUGGGAAAUUGGCACCCUAAACAAAGCAGAGCUCGGAAGCACAUGUGUUAGCAGCCUCCUACAUUGGGCUUUGUGAGGUGUGUAGUUGUCUUCUCCCAAGAGGUCUUUCCAAACACCUGCUUGAAAGCACAUGCCAAAACUGUGGUGCAGACUAACAUUAUUGUUUAUUGUGUCUGUUUGGUGAUUUCUGAUGGCCCUUCCCAAGGGAUGCAAGCCUCAGUCACAGUGUUUGCUUAGUUGCUUCUGUGGAAUACACCUGCAGGGAAAAGAUCCACUCUCUAAAGCAAAACUGGUCUUUGGCUUUGAGGUUCAGCUCCAAGUCCACAGGGCUUGUUCUCUGUCUGUGACUCAACAACAUUUGGCACAUUAAAAACUGUGCCUUUAAUAAACUGGAAAAUAGCUUCUAAAGAAUCCUUUGAGGGAUUUAACAGUUUUCAUCUCUUGGUCUAUCUGUUUUGUCCAUUUUCAUUUAAGUUCAUGCAAUGCAAAGAAAUGAGCCUCUUGGGAAACAAAGACAUUACUGCAGUAGGAAAAUUAGCAAAAUAGGAAAGAUUAUACCACACCAUCCAACCUUGCAUGAAAACACAAAAGAAAAACAUAGGAAGGAGAGGCAAUGAGUAAAGAGAAUAUAUUGACUUGGGGUUUGUCCUGCCAGGCACAUUUCAGUACAGGGCUACUGAAUAGUGGCAAAUGGAUCACAGCUGAUAAACUACUUCAAAGCAGCACACCCAGACCUCCUAAUCCCAUAGGACUGCAGAGGAGAAAUGGCUUUUCAUCAGCAUGGAGCUGAGAGACAGAGGCUCCAUGUUUGCAGAUCCUUUCCCACAGGGGUGUCACUGUUGCUUUCCCUUGUCACUGCCCCCUGCCCCAGCUGCUGAAUUUACAGCUUUCUUUCCCUUCUCCAGAUUAUGCAGUAAUUACACAUUUCUCAGGCAGAAAAAGAACCCCUUCCACUGGCUGUUGUACAUCAGUAGAGGCCUUAUCAAGUACCACAGAGAAGGAAAGCAUGAAAUCACAGGCCAACAGUGCUUACAGCCCAUUUUCCCCCAUGUGGUUUUUUACCUUUUCCACACUGUCAUGGAGUCACACUUGAGAAUGACACUCUUCUGUAGCCUGCCUGUUCUGUCCUGCAGAAUUGCUGCCCAUCCAGUAGUUCUUCCACCUGCUGGUUUUCAUUCCCAGGGAAAUAAAUGGCACAUAUAUCUUACAACUUGAAUCCUGAUUUCUUUCCUCUUCCAAUCCAUUUAUGAAAUUGCAACAAUAAUUUUUUUUUUAGUUCUUAUCUUCUUAGCCAUGGUGCUUGCCAUCCCCCUCGUUCUGAUGACACUUCCAGAUUUCAUAAGAACUGUUUUGUCUUCAGCCAGGUCAUAAAAGGACACUGCACAACACAGGUUGGCCAGUCCUGGGAAUAACCACUGGGCACAGCUUAAGAUGUAUCACUCUACCUGCUUUUGCAGCUAUUUUUUCAGGCACCAAAAUGCACAACACUUCCCAGCCUGCUCAGGAGAAUGUCAUUUAAAACAGCAUCCAAGCUUCACUAAAUAAAAUAAGGAAGGUGGGAGGAUGAUUUAGCAACAUUUGUCCUUAAAUCCCCCUGGUUUUCCUUUUACUUAUUAUGUUCUGAGUAUCUACUAAAGGUUUAAUUAUUUGCUACACUACUUUCUACUCUCUAGAACCCAGAGAGCCUCUAACUCCCUGACACCUUUGCCCUCUCUCAUCCCUUUUUAAAGUAGAUACUAUAUUUGUAAUCUCACACAUGACUUUCAAGGGAAAUCAUUAAAGCUUGUUUUGGCCAGUUUUAUAUUUGCCUUGGAUGGAAUUCACCUGGCUCAGCUGAUUUGAAAACAUCUCCACUGCAAAGCACUGACAUUUCCUGUUUUAUCUCAAAUCACUUUUUGCUGCUGAUGUUAAUUGUGUUGCUGCCUGAUUGCAGAUGACCUUUGUAAAUGGACAGUCUUCCACAGCUGUCAAUUAUUUAAUUAGCUCAAAAGGCAGAAACAUAUGCUGUGGGUCCAAAGGUUUCAUCCCAGCUGAAUCUCAUGUAACUGUCAGGAGGAGACUAUUUAAUAUAAUUUCAUUUUUUAAAUUUAUUUGUUUUUCUGUAAGAAGUAAAGAGAAUAUUAAAGUUGCAAAAGUCCAGCUCCAAAAUAACAGGAAUUUCUGACAUUAAAGUUUCUUUUCCAACCUUAA